UAGGAUAGGAUAGGAUAGGAUAGGAUAGGAUAGGAUAUUUGGCCAAGUGUGAUUAGACACAUAAGGAAUUUGUGUGUGGUUCAGAAGCUUUCAUUGUACCUGCAAGGCAACAGAGUUAUAAUAAUCAUAAUAAUGUCACCGAUAAGAGAAGUAUGAGAGAAGAUGACAAGGAUAAUAAUGUUACAACCAUACAAUAGGAGUGAAUAUAUUUAGAUAUAAGACAGUAUUAUAAGGAUUAGAUGCUCAGCAGAGUGAUGGCAAAAUGGAAAAAACACCUGCCCCUGUGUCUAGUUGAUUUGGCAUAUAAUGCUACAGGACAGGAAGUGUCAGCAUGAAUGUAAUGACCUAUGUUCAUGCAGACAUGAAAUGUCUGCACGUAAAAUUUCAACAGGGAGUUCAUACAGAACUGAGAUUUCAAUUUCUAUCCAUCUCACUUUAUCAAAAGAAAGACUAGGAGCCAGCCUUAAAACACAUUCAGGUUUUAAAUCUUCAUUUAUUUUUUUCACCACUCAAUAGAGGAGGAACUCAUGCAAAUUUUAUGAGAUGCAAUGCAAAGCAUCCAGUAUGAGAGCCUCAUUUCUUCUGAAGUUCAAAGACCUCACUAAGACACCCUAGAUGGCAUUUUCCACGAGAAGCCAUAUUUUUUCAUUACAUGUUUUGAAUUGUAUGGAAUUUCCUCUCCUUCUGUUUUUUUCUCCAAAUCAAGUUCUAUUUUGAGAAGAUCUGUAGACACAGCAAAGUAUAAAUUAAAGGCAGGAAGUGUGAAUUCUAGCUGUCUCUUAGAAAUAUUAAAAAAAAAUCAGCUAAAAUAGGAAAAUCUUGCAAGUCUGAUUCUGCUGUAUUUCCCAUCCUUCUUAUACCCCAAUGAAUCAGGGGGUAGUUGUCUUAAUUGUUUUUGAAUAUUUGAGGAUUGAGUCUGGUCCUCAAAAUAACUUUCAGUUCCCUUUCCCAUUGUAACAGUUUCUGCGUAAUUCUGUCAAAAUUACCAGCACCAAGAUAUAAUCUUCUUUGCAAAAAAAUAAAAUGAAAUAACCAGUCACAGUGUAUGGCAGUCAUUUGAAAUAUUUUUUGCCAGUCUCUGACUUUUUUGGCCAGUUUUGGAUUUGCUUCACAACUGAAAGACUCUCUUAUCAAUCACUGAAAAUAAUGGUUGAAAAAAUGCGCCUAGCAAUGUGGUUGCCUCUAUUUAUGACAGCACUGACUUACAACCAAUAUUCUAGUCGAUAUGUCAAGGACUACUUGCAUCCAGAUACACUCAAUUAUCUUUGUGAAAAUAGCAGAGAAUUUUCUACUAAAUUUCACAACACUUAAGGACUUCAUCUCCUAUUUAUACAGUCCUGGCAAAAUUUAUGCAAAGCCAAUAUGACUUUCACUUCCUAUUUAAACUCUUGUUCUCCUUUUUCAGGCUCAACUCAAGGUGUAAAUCUUAUCCUUCCAAACUUCUUCACAAUGGCAAUCCACUUCUUAACUCUCAUCACGCUGGCUGCCUUCCCCAAAGGUGGCCUCUCUCAGAUAGCUCUGACACAGUCAGAUCCAGUGCUGAAGAAACCAGGAGAAUCCCAUAAAUUGACUUGCGCUGUCACUGGAUUCAAUGUUAACAGCUACUACAUGGAUUGGAUCAGACAGAAACCUGGCCAAGGACUGGAAUGGCUUGUUCACUAUUACUCAUCUAGUAUCAACUAUUAUUCACCAACAAUCCAAGGACGUUUUGCUGCUUCCAAGGACAGUUCCAACUUCUAUCUGCAAAUGAACAACCUAAAAGCUGAUGACUCGUCUGUCUAUUAUUGUGCAAGAGACACAGUGAAAUAGAUCUUAAGGGAUCCUAACGUAAAAACGUUUCACUACUGAAAUAUCUCAAGAGGGGACACCAGAGAACCACAAAAUGAGUUGUCUAGCAUGUGGAACAAAACCACGCAGGCAGAGAAGAGAUGGAAAUGAAAAGAGAAAACAAAAAUACCCCCAAAUAUAUUAUUACUCUACACUUAGUGUGUUUGAACAUCUUUCACUUAUUGGUUGCUGUGGUUUCCUGCAGGUUCUUCUUCCAAUGCCAGAUGACAUCUCAAAAUGGGUUCGCCAUAGGUUCACAACCACUGAUCUAUAAUGC